rnacentral:rRNA from 1 species
AGCAGCCGCGGUAAUUCCAGCUCCAAUAGCGUACAUUAAAGUUGUUGCAGUUAAAAAGCUCGUAGUUGAAUUUCGGGGUCAGUAGGCUGGUCGUGCCACUGGUAUGCACUGGUCUCACUGGCUCCUCCUUCCUGAUGAACCGUAAUGCCAUUAAUUUGGUGUUGCGGGGAAACUGGACUGUUACUUUGAAAAAAUUAGAGUGUUUAAAGCAAGCUAACGCUUGAAUACAUUAGCAUGGAAUAAUGAAAUAGGACGAUCGAUCCUAUUUUGUUGGUUUCUAGGAUUGACGUAAUGAUUAAUAGGGAUAGUUGGGGGCAUUAGUAUUCAAUUGUCAGAGGUGAAAUUCUUGGAUUUAUUGAAGACUAACUACUGCGAAAGCAUUUGCCAAGGAUGUUUUCAUUAAUCAAGAACGAAAGUUAGGGGAGUCGAAGACGAUCAGAUACCGUCGUAGUCUUAACAUAACUAUGCCG